rnacentral:rRNA from 1 species
UUGAACGCUGGCGGCGUGCUUUUACACAUGCAAGUCGAGCGGCAGCACGGACUUCGGGUCUGGUGGCGAGCGGCGAACCGGGUGAGUAAUACAUCGGAACGUACCUUUUAGUUGGGGAUAACGCAUCGAAAGAUGUGCUAAUACCGAAUAAUCUCUGAGGAGGAAAGGCGGGGAUCGCAAGACCUGUCGCUGAAAGAGCGGCCGAUGGCUGAUUAGCUAGUUGGGGGGGUAAAAGCCCACCAAGGCGAUGAUCAGUAGCUGUUCUGAGAGGAAGAUCAGCCACACUGGGACUGAGACACGGCCCAGACUCCUACGGGAGGCAGCAGUGGGGAAUUUUGGACAAUGGGGGCAACCCUGAUCCAGCAACGCCGCGUGAAUGAAGAAGGCCUUAGGGUUGUAAAGUUCUUUUGUCUGGGAGCAAAGUGUUAGUGUUAAUACCACUGACAGAUGAGAGUACCAGAAGAAUAAGCACCGGCUAACUACGUG